rnacentral:rRNA from 1 species
AAUAAGCGGAGGAAAAGAAACCAACAGGGAUUCCCUUAGUAACGGCGAGUGAACCGGGAAAAGCUCAAAUUUGAAAUCUGCCAACAGGCCGAGUUGUAAUUUGUAGAUGGCUACACUGCAUAAUAGUAGAUGCUCAAGUUCUUUGGAAAAAGACAUCAUGGAGGGUGACAAUCCCGUGAGGCAUGUUACUAGGAGCAUAUAGUGGGCUUUCUAAGAGUCGAGUUGUUUGGGAAUGCAGCUCAAAGUGCGUGGUGAAUACCAUGUAAAGCUAAAUAUGGACGAGAGACCGAUAGCGAACAAGUACUGUGAAGGAAAGAUGAAAAGCACUCCGAAAGGAGAGUGAAAUAGUACGUGAAAUUGUUAAAGUGGAAGGGCUUGAGAUCAGAAUUGGUAGUUUGGGUUCCACGUCCUCUUGGGGGCGUGUACUCCCUUUCCACCGGGCCAGCGGGAGUUUCGUCUCUUGGGUAAAAGCAGUGGAAUGUAGCAGCUUGUCUGUAUUAUAGCCUCUGUUCCAUACAAGACGUCGAGACUG